rnacentral:rRNA from 1 species
AGUGAACGCUGGCGGUAGGCCUAACACAUGCAAGUCGAACAGCAGCACAGGAGAGCUUGCUCUCUGGGUGGCGAGUGGCGGACGGGUGAGGAAUACAUCGAAAUCUACUCUGUCGUGGGGGAUAACGUAGGGAAACUUACGCUAAUACCGCAUACGACCUACGGGUGAAAGCAGGGGACCUUCGGGCCUUGCGCGAUUGAAUGAGCCGAUGUCGGAUUAGCUAGUUGGCGGGGUAAAGGCCCACCAAGGCGACGAUCCGUAGCUGGUCUGAGAGGAUGAUCAGCCACACUGGAACUGAGACACGGUCCAGACUCCUACGGGAGGCAGCAGUGGGGAAUAUUGGACAAUGGGCGCAAGCCUGAUCCAGCCAUACCGCGUGGGUGAAGAAGGCCUUCGGGUUGUAAAGCCCUUUUGUUGGGAAAGAAAUCCAGCUGGCUAACACCCGGUUGGGAUGACGGUACCCAAAGAAUAAGCACCGGCUAACUUCGUGCCAGCCGCCGCCGUAA